CUAUCCUGCCCUCCUUGGGCGUUUCCUCCCUGGACUUGGGCCGCUUGUGAAUCAAGCGGCCUCUUUUUCUUGCUCA
rnacentral:sRNA from 1 species